UACGUAGGGUGCAAGCGUUGUCCGGAAUUAUUGGGCGUAAAGAGCUCGUAGGCGGUCUGUCGCGUCGGAUGUGAAAAUCCAGGGCUCAACCCUGGACCUGCAUUCGAUACGGGCAGACUAGAGUUCGGUAGGGGAGACUGGAAUUCCUGGUGUAGCGGUGAAAUGCGCAGAUAUCAGGAGGAAUACCUAUGGCGAAAGCAGGUAUCUGGGCCAUCACUGACGCUGAGCUGCGAAAGCUAGGGGAGCAAACAGG
rnacentral:rRNA from 1 species